rnacentral:rRNA from 1 species
AUGUUGGCUAAACAGUGCUGGAGACUCGUCACUGAUGCAGAUUCUUUGGUGGCGAGAGUUUUAAAAGCUAAAUAUUAUCCUAAUGGAAGCAUUCUUACUGCUACUCCAAAAAAUGGGUCAUCCUUUACUUGGCAAAGUAUCCUUAAGGGACUGGAAACUUUUAAGAAAGGGUAUAUUUGGAGAAUUGGGACCGGGGAAGAAGUGAAUAUAUGGAAGGAUCCUUGGAUCCCAGCUAGUUCUGAUUUGAAGGUUAUCACUCCUCGGGGCCAAACAGUGUUGACACGGGUGUGUGAGUUAAUUGAUCCUAUGACGGGCACUUGGGAUGAGGACUUACUACAACAUAUUUUCUAUCCUGUAGAUGUUCGCAGAGUACUACAGAUUCCUAUCAAUCUCCAUGCCUUUGAUGAUUUUAUUGCGUGGCAACCAAGCCGGACUGGUAUUUUCUCUGUUCGCACAGCUUACCAUUUACAAUGGAUGCAUACUUUUCGAGCACAUGGAACUAGGAUGGAGAACCCUGGUGGAUCCACACCUCUGGCAGUCUGGAGUACACUUUGGAAACUCCCAGUUCCACGUAAAGUUCAAGUAUUUGGAUGGAGGUUGUUACGAGGAAUCAUCCCGCUACGAGCUAUCCUCACUAAUAGGCAUGUCGGGUCUAAUGGAGCCUGCCCAAUCUGCCAUCAGGGGGCGGAGGACAUCAAGCAUCUUCUAUUCCAGUGCACGCAUGCAAGGGAUUUGUGGGACCGACUAGGCUUGCUGGAACUAGUGAAUCAAUCAUUGCCAGUGGAUAGAUCGGGAUCGAUCAUUGUCGCGCAUAUACUGUCACUUCCGGACAGUCAUCUAUAUAUGCAUCCGAACAUCAAUUUUAAACAGGCCAUUUUGGUGGGAGCGUGGUACCUAUGGUGGAUUAGGUGGCAGGCCACACACAGUGAAACAUACCCACCCUCAUGGAGAUGGCCUAUCUCAGUCCUGUCCAUUGUGAGGAAUUUCUAA